ensembl:miRNA
AUGCUCCAGUGGCGCAAUCGGUUAGCGCGCGGUACUUAUAUAGCAGUAUGUGCGAGCAAUGCCGAGGUUGUGAGUUCGAGCCUCACCUGGAGCAUGUUUUUUACCC